GCCCAGCUAGCUCAGUCAGUAGAGCAUGAUACUCUCAAUCUCAGGGUCUUGGGUUCACACUCCAUGUUGGGUA
rnacentral:tRNA from 1 species